UAGUUUCUUAGAACAACGGAAUCAUGGAAAGAAUGGAAUAGCUCAUUCCGAAGUUUGUUUGCUAUUCUUGUAGGUUCAAGAAGUUUUUGAUGAAGCUGGAGUCUGGGGAUUCUGGAAAGGGGUUUUUCCAACAUUGGUUAUGGUACGUGUCAAUUACCUUCUUUCAAUGCUGUACGAUUGUCACUUUUGCCCCUAUCUGCUUCUGCCAGGUCAGCAAUCCUUCCAUACAGUUUAUGCUGUACGAGACCCUACUAAAGAAUUUAAAGCAACGUCGCGCUUUGAGCAACAGUAACAAAGGCGUAACUGCUUUAGAGGCAAGUAGUUGAAUAAACCUCUAAAUUUUCUUAUAAUCAUAUAAAGAUUAAUAUUAAUGUAUUGUGAUUUACUUUAGGUAUUUUUGCUUGGGGCAUUGGCAAAACUUGGAGCUACAGUUGUAACGUAUCCUCUUUUAGUUGUAAAGGUAAGUACUUUGAAGCUCUAUAUACAAAAAAAAAAAAAAAAUUACAUUUCCCAUUUAAUAAAUACUUUUUUUUUUUUUUUUUUUUUUGUAGUCGAGACUUCAAGCAAAGCAAGCGAUUGGGGUAGACAAAAAGCAUCAGUAUAAAGGUAUGUGAGUUAAUCAGAGACAAAAAAAAAAGAAGGCUGUUAGUUCUUACCUACAUGAUGUGUUUUCCAUUAGGCACACUGGAUGCGAUAUUAAAGAUGAUACGUUAUGAAGGGUUCCAUGGUUUUUACAAAGGAAUGAGCACUAAGAUAGUGCAAAGUGUUCUUGCUGCUGCUGUUUUGUUCAUGGUAAAGGA
rnacentral:lncRNA from 1 species